GGCUAGCAGUGGAGUCCAGGACGCGUCACAAAUAGGACGAAACGCGCGUCCAGGAU
rnacentral:hammerhead_ribozyme from 1 species